AAUUAAGAUACUCAUCAUCUCACAUAGUUACCUUUUGUGUGAGUGUGGUGAGAACACCUAAGAUCUUAACAAACUUCAAGUAUACAUUACAGUAUUAUUGACUAUAGUCAAAUUGUUGUACAUUAGAGCUCCAGUAUUUAUUCUUGUUUUUGUUUUUGUUUUUAACAGUGUCAGCUCUGUUGUCCAGGCUGGUGUAUGGCGUGAUCUCUGCUCACUGCAACCUCUGCCUCCCAGGUUCAAGUGAUUCUUGUGCCUCAGCCACCCAAGUAGCUGGGAUUACAGGUGUGCACAACCACACCCAGCUAAGUUUUGUAUUUUUUAGUAGACAUGGGUUUUCACUAUGUUGGCCAGGCUGAUCUCGAACUCCUGGCCUCAAGUGGCCCACCCACAUCAGCCUCCCAAGUGCUGGGAUUACAGGUGUGAGCCACUGCACCUGGCCUUAUUAAUCUUCUAUAACAGAAAUUUUUAACCCUUUCACCAAUACGCUCCCAUUUUUCUCUCCCCCCAGCACAUCGCAGCAACCAUUCUACUCCCUGUUUCUAUGAGUUCGACUAUUUUGCAUUUUACAUAUAAGUGAGAUCAUGCAUUAUUUGUCUAUGUCUGGCUUGUUUCACUUAACAUAAUGUCCUCUGGUUCAUUCACAUUAUCACAAAUGGCAGGAUUUCCCCUUUUGAAGAUUGAAUGAUAUUCUAUUGUGUGUGUGUAUACAAAUGAAUGAAUAAUAUUUUAUUGUGUGUAUAUACAAAUGAAUAAAUAAGGAAAAUGGUGUGUGUGUGUAUGAAUGGAACCACAAAAUUCUAAAUAGCCAAAACAAUCUUUAAUAAUAACAAAGCUAGAGGCACCACAAUUGUUGAUUUCAAAAUAUAUUACAAAGCUUUAAUAAUCUAAACAGUGUGGAACUGGCAUAAAAACAAGACAUGUAGACCAAUGGAACAGAAUAGAGAGCCAGAAAUAAAUCCAC
rnacentral:lncRNA from 10 species